AGAGCGAACGCUGGCGGCAGGCCUAACACAUGCAAGUCGAGCGCCCCGCAAGGGGAGCGGCAGACGGGAGAGUAACACGUGGGAACGUACCCUUCAGUUCGGAACAACCCAGGGAAACUUGGGCUAAUACCGAAUACGUCCGUAAGGAGAAAGAUUUAUCGCUGAAGGAUCGGCCCGCGUCUGAUUAGCUUGUUGGUGAGGUAAUGGCUCACCAAGGCUACGAUCAGUAGCUGGUCUGAGAGGAUGAUCAGCCUCACUGGGACUGAGACACGGCCCAGACUCCUACGGGAGGCAGCAGUGGGGAAUAUUGGACAAUGGGCGCAAGCCUGAUCCAGCCAUGCCGCGUGGGUGAUGAAGGCCCUAGGGUUGUAAAGCCCUUUCGGCGGGGAAGAUAAUGACGGUACCCGCAGAAGAAGCCCGGCUAACUCGUGCCAGCAGCCGC
rnacentral:rRNA from 1 species